AUCCGGGUUGCGGACAGUGUCUGGUGGGUAGUUUGACUGGGGCGGUCUCCUCCUAAAGAGUAACGGAGGAGCACGAAGGUCAGCUAAUCCUGGUCGGACAUCAGGAGGUUAGUGCAAUGGCAUAAGCUGGCUUGACUGCGAGCGUGACGGCGCGAGCAGGUGCGAAAGCAGGUCAUAGUGAUCCGGUGGUUCUGAAUGGAAGGGCCAUCGCUCAACGGAUAAAAGGUACUCCGGGGAUAACAGGCUGAUACCGCCCAAGAGUUCAUAUCGACGGCGGUGUUUGGCACCUCGAUGUCGGCUCAUCACAUCCUGGGGCUGAAGUAGGUCCCAAGGGUAUGGCUGUUCGCCAUUUAAAGUGGUACGCGAGCUGGGUUUAGAACGUCGUGAGACAGUUCGGUCCCUAUCUGCCGUGGGCGCUGGAGAAUUGAGGGGGGCUGCUCCUAGUACGAGAGGACCGGAGUGGACGCAUCACUGGUGUUCGGGUUGUCAUGCCAAUGGCAUUGCCCGGUAGCUAAAUGCGGAAGAGAUAAGUGCUGAAAGCAUCUAAGCACGAAACUUGCCCCGAGAUGAGUUCUCCCUGAC
rnacentral:rRNA from 1 species